rnacentral:rRNA from 1 species
GAUGAACGCUGGCGGCGUGCCUAAUACAUGCAAGUCGAGCGAAUGGAUUAAGAGCUUGCUCUUAUGAAGUUAGCGGCGGACGGGUGAGUAACACGUGGGUAACCUGCCCAUAAGACUGGGAUAACUCCGGGAAACCGGGGCUAAUACCGGAUAACAUUUUGAACCGCAUGGUUCGAAAUUGAAAGGCGGCUUCGGCUGUCACUUAUGGAUGGACCGGCGUCGCAUUAGCUAGUUGGUGAGGUAACGGCUCACCAAGGCAACGAUGCGUAGCCGACCUGAGAGGGUGAUCGGCCACACUGGGACUGAGACACGGCCCAGACUCCUACGGGAGGCAGCAGUAGGGAAUCUUCCGCAAUGGACGAAAGUCUGACGGAGCAACGCCGCGUGAGUGAUGAAGGCUUUCGGGUCGUAAAACUCUGUUGUUAGGGAAGAACAAGUGCUAGUUGAAUAAGCUGGCACCUAGACGGUACCUAACCAGAAAGCCACGGCUAACUACGUGCCAGCCGCCGCGGUAA